rnacentral:lncRNA from 1 species
GGUAGUGUGGUCUUUCUGUCUCCCUUUGUAAUAUACUAUAAGUAGUACAUUUUAGGUCUUUUCUCUUUAGUUUAUGAAUUAUGAAAUAUUGAAACAUUCAAAGUCCUCUAUUUGAGAGUAGAACACCGUAGUUUAGUCUUAGUUAGGGCUUGGAAUAGCCAUUGUAGUUUAGGGCUUGGAAAAGCUAGUAUUGAUCUUUGCUUGAAAACGGUGGAUCUUGAGGUGCGUUGAUUUCCUUGGCGGUCACCGUAAGAGUGUGGUGUUGAUUAUUAUAUUCAUUAGGGGUUAGUGUUGAAAUACUCUUGGUUAUUAAUCUUGUAAUAAUAUUUGUCUCACUAUCUAUCCUUUUCAUUCUUGCAAACUUGUUGUGUUGUUCUUGUUCUCUACUCUUGUUUUGUGUUUGUUCUUGUUGGCUGAAAUUGUUGCCUUCUUGUUCUUUAUUUUAUGUAUUGUUAAGCUAGUUUGGGUUGGCUGAAAUAGGUGUCAAACACCUUGUUAUCUUCUCAUUCUAGUGUUGUGUUGUGAAUUCGAGAGAGGUCUCUAAUCGGUCCAAGGAUCUUAGUGAUUUGUGUACUGUUUUGGAGUAUGUUUGUAGACUGUUUUGAGUCAUUUCGUGAGUUUCUUAUUUUUCUUGUAUCAUUUAAUAUUAAAGCAUGGCUUGAUCUUGUUCCCACAAGAUCAAUCUUGGGCUUUUUAGUGAAAAAAUAAAAAAAAGUGUUCUAAACUAAAAAUUUCAGAAAAAAAUAGCAAUCUGUCCGUGUUGUGUUCUUGGCCAAAAAGUGUGUUCUUGUUGUGUCUUGGCCGAGAUUUUUACUUGUAUUUGUUGUCUCUAAGUGUUAGUUUUGUUCCUCACUAACAUAUUGAGUCUAUCUAGAUUUGAGCUUUAAAAAUUGAUGUUGUUGUUGUGAACAAGAAGUGACUGUGAGUUGAAGUUGUUGUUCUAACUUGGCCAUGUGGUGACCUUGUUGUUGGGCGUUGGUUGGUGUUUUUGUUGAUCGUGGUUGUUGUUGUUGCAUUCUUGUUGUUCAUCACAACCUUCAUUUAGUGUUAAAAUAGAAAAUACAACACCAAAAAAACUUGGCCGUUUGUUGGUGGUUUUAUUAUUGGUCUUCUUGUUGUGGAAUUGGGCAUUGGAACUUGUUGUUGUUCUUGGGAGAUUGUUGUUGGUUGUUCUUGUUGUGGUGGUUGUGUUCUUGAAGUUCUUCACCAUAUUCAUCACCUUGUUAACAUAAAGUGAAUGAUAGAUCCUAAAAGGUGAAGGAAGGAUGUGUAAGUAAUUGUUAGUCUUGAAAGACCCCCAACCAUCAAAAGACUUUACAUCACUUCUCAACCACUUUUCCAUGAAACAAGGGUCCAUGUUUUAAGGAAAAGUACUACAAAAGUCAAGUCUUGAAAUUUGAAACUUGAAAAACGGCUCCAAGACUUAUUCUUCCCUCCUUAAAAUAAAUUUCACCAAUCCAAAUUCAAACUGGUUAUGACUUGGACUUUGGAAAAUAAAAAUUGUAGAAACCGCAACUAAUACGUGGCUGCCAUGUCAUCAAGUUACUAUUCACACUUCAAAUUUUGGCUCAAAUUUUGGAUUUCAUAGUUUUCUUUUGUUGUUCCUUAGUUUCAAUUUCCUUGGUUCCAAUACUAAUUGGCAAACUAGUACUCAUCUACUAGAUUGUUAGUUAGUCUUUGUGUUCGUUCAUUCGUGUUUGGCAUUUGUUAUGUGCUUUUCUCGUCUUUAACUCGUCGUAACUUCUUUGUUUCAAGUUCAUAAGUAAAUUUUAUUUUGUGUCUUAAGUCAAUCAAACAAGAAUCUAUUCCGGUCGCCAAGUAGAAUUGACAUCUUAUUGACUAUCGGAGUAUAAGCAACUUUUAAUAUUCGCCGCUCCAAUUGUGAGAAUCACAAAGGUGAGUGUAUAUGAGUAUUGGUAAGGAGCUUUUACUACUAAUCUUGUUUGUUGUGUUGUUGUUUAUUGUCGUCUUUUGCUUUAGGUACCAUGGAUGCCACUAAUCUCGAUGCCACAUUUGAUCGCAUCAAUGACGAUCUUGAAGAUAUGAAAUGACACGUUAAAAGGCUACGCCAAUUGUUGCCUAAACUUUUCCCACAAAAUCCAAUUCCUAUUAUCCAAACAACUUGCGAUGAGAGCUUUCCGAAGGAAGUCGCUACCCAAGUUUGUGAAGGACCUUCACACCGAGGUAAAGACAAACAUACUCAUGAACUUCAAGGUAAAAUAGCUAACUCUUACACUUUUGUGCAUGUGAAUGAUGAUCGUGUGACUAAUAAGCUGUUGAGUGUGAGUAGUAGCUUACCUACAUGUGAGUAUAUUGAUUAUUUGCCAUUUGUGGAUGAUGUACAUGGUGUGUGAGUGGAUACACUAGUUGAUCCUAUAGAUGACCGAAUUGACUCUUCUUGCAAGAUCAAUUUGUGUCCACCUAGUGUUGAAGCUAUUGUGUUGAAUGAAAGUACAUCGUCGUGUGAAAAAUAUAUUGACCAACUUGUGUGUAAAACUUACCCACCACUUGAGGUUAUGUGUGAUAUGAUUAAUGAAUCUUAAGUGAGUGAAAAAUUUGAAAAUGUUGGUCAAAGAAAUAGGAGUGAACCCGAGAGCUCUUCUUGGGGUAAUUUUGUGCUUGAAACCUCCUUGAAACUCGAUAUUGAUCUUUUAGAGAGUGAAGAACUUGUUCCAAAUUUUCUAGUGGAUUGGAUAAUGCUCUCUUUAGGUAUAAUGUUUGGUUUGAAGAUGAUAUAAACACUCCUAAUGAACCUAGUGGUGAACAUGAUGGUAUAGCUUGCCUUGGAAGCUAUAGCCGAUAUGCUAACCCACUAUGGUGUGACAACAUUCCCCCUAAAGAUGAAAAUCUCUUUUUGAAAGAUGAGAGUACUAUUACGGGUAAGGAAUAUGUAGUCCUUCUUGAAAACCUGAGGGCAAAGGUGUCAUUGACUCCUUGGGAUAAUGUUUCUAAAUUUGUAUCCUUGCUCGACACACUUGUGCUUACAUUACAUGAAUACCAACUUGAGGAUGCCAAGUUGCCUACUUGCUUGAAGGAAAGAAUGUGUAUGUGUUCAAAUGUCUUAUCUUCACCCGUGUAUACCUUUACACUUGGUUCUUUCCUGUACUACCUCUUUUCCUAUGAUGACAUCCAUGCUAGUUAUGGAUUUGUAUUAUGUAGAGGUAGAAAACUUGUUGGUUGGUUCACUUGUUCUAAUGACUAUGUUAUGUGUGUUGGGUGGACUUUAAAACCAAUAGUGGCACAACGAUUGAUGAGGUCACUUGAAGAGGUAAUGAAACAAUUAUGCUUUAUGGUCCCUAAGUUACGGGUGGCCUUACCCUUGGGACUUCGGGAUACCAUUGAGUCCUUUGUAGUUUCUUUAUCUCUUGAUACUUGUCAUAACCAUGCCCUUUGUGAUGUUUUUGCUAAGAUUUUCAUGACUAACACCACGGAUUCAUGGUUAUAUUUUAAGUAUGUCCCACCUUUGCAUGAUGAUGGUUUUUAUUAUACUAACCCUAACCCUCAUGCCUUGAGGAAGUUGUGCUUGUUUUUCCUUUCUCUUAUUUUGCAAGGUAUGGAUUCGAGGUUGAAUCCUUUUUAAGGAGGGGAGGAUGAUACAAGUCAAAUGGCCGCCUUAACUUUUGAUGACAUUUUUGGAGGCCAACACCUAAAGGCUCAAGACUUGAUCGCCCUGAGAGCACAAAGAUAUGCAAGGAAGGCCCGUUUUGAGCAUGAAUUGAAGCAAUCCCGUGUAUGGAAGGUUGCUUGGAAGCUUACAUUGAUGUUAACCCGAAAACCACAAGCCUUGAAGACUUAAAACUCUCGGGUUUGGACCACCUUUGUUGGUUCACGAUUUUGGUUCCCUUUACUAAGGGCAUUUUGGUCACUUAGCCUUAAGGGCAUUUUUGACAAUUCAUAUUGUCUUCCAACACAUCAAGGCCACCCUUGGUCAUUAAGGGUAGUGUGGUCUUUCUGUCUCCUUUUGUAAUAUACUAUAAGUAGUACAUUUUAGGUCUUUUCUCUUUAGUUUAUGAAUGAUGAAAUAUUGAAACAUUCAAAGUCCUCUAUUUGAGAGUAGAACACCUUAGUUUAGUCUUAGUUAGGGCUUGGAAUAGCCAUUGUAGUUUAGGGCUUGGAAAAGCUAGUAUUGAUCUUUGCUUGAAAACGGUGGAUCUUGAGGUGCGUUGAUUCCCUUGGCGGUCACCGUAAGAGUUUGGUGUUGAUUAUUAUAUUCAUUAGGGGUUAGUGUUGAAAUACUCUUGGUUCUUAAUCUUGUAAUAAUCUUUGUCUCACUAUCUAUCAUUUUUCAUUCUUGCAAACUUGUUGUGUUGUUCUUGUUCUCUACUCUUGGUUUGUGUUUGUUCUUGUUGGCUGAAAUUGUUGCCUUCUUGUUCUUCAUUUUAUGUAUUGUUAAGCUAGUUUGGGUUGGCUGAAAUAGGUGUCAAACACCUUGUUAUCUUCUCAUUCUAGUGUUGUGUUGUGAAUCCGAAAGAGGUCUCCAAUCGGUCCAAGGAUCUUAGUGAUUUGUGGACUGUUUUGGAGCGUGUUUGUGGACUGUUUUGAGCCACUUCGUGAGUUCCUUGUUUUUCUUGUAUCAGUGAAACUUUGAGCAACACUUGCUCACCCUCCAUAAAGUGCAUAUCUCUAACUUUCCGAUCCGCAUACUCUUUUUAUCUACUUUGAGCCGCUAUUAGUUCUUCCUGAAUGAACCUGACAUUCUUUAACGAUUCUCUUAGUAGAUCAGUACCCCAUAGUCUCACCUCAAAAGCAUCAAACCAUCCAAUGGGAGAUCUAUACCUUCUCCCAUACAAGGCCUCAAACGGUAC